CCGCAGCUGACAUCCCUAGACGCUGCAUCUUUUUCUCUUCGCCUACUUGGUUUGUCGCCAUCAAUUCUCUCUGGGAUCCAUAUCUUCAGACUAAAUGUAUAUGAAGGGGAUGAAAUUGCAGAGAUCACAAGUGACGUCGAUGAUGCUUUCUUUAGCUAGAGUGCACGAGUUGACAAAUUUUUGGUUAGCGGAAAUUGCUUUGCACGGGCAAGAAGUUAUUUAUUUGAUAUCGUUCUUUUCUAUUUAACUCUUA